rnacentral:rRNA from 1 species
AGAGUUUUGAUCAAGAUGAACUUUAGUGGUAUGCUUAACACAUGCAAGUCAGACAGGAUAUACAGGAAAUGGUGUUUCCAGUGGUGGAAGCGUUAUAAACCCUAAACUCACCUUCCCUUGGGAGGGAAACCACAUCUAGAAACGAUUGCUAAUACCUCGUAGGCUGAGGAACAAAAGGAGAAAUCCGCCCGAUGAGGGGCUCGCGUGUGAUUAGCUAGCUGGUGAGGCAAUAACUUACCAAGGAGAUGAUCAGUAGUUUGUCCGAGAGGAUGAUCAGCCACAGUUGGACUGAGACACUGCCCAGACUCCUAUGGGAGGCAACAGUGGGGAAUUUUAGAAAUGGGUGAAAGCCUUAUGGAUCAAUAUUGCGUGUCAAAAAAAUCCCAUGGGUCGUGAAAUUCUUUUCCUGGAGAAGAAGCAAUCAUGGUAUCUGGGGAAUAAGCAUCGGCUAACUACGUGGUAGCAGCCGCGGUAAUACAGAGUAUGCAAGCGUUAUCCGGAAUGAUUGGGCGUAAAGCGUCUGUAGGUGGCUUUUUAAGUCCGCCGUCAAAUCCCAGGGCUUAACCCUAGACCGAUGGUGGAAACUACCAACAUGGAGUAUGGUACGGGCAAAGGAAAUUUCCAGUGGAUCAGUGAAAUGCAUAGAGAUCAAAAAGAACACAAACGGUGAAAGCACACUGUUGGCCGACACUGACACUAAGAGACGAAAUCUAGGGGAGCGAAUGGGAUUAGAUACCCUAGUAGUCCUAGUCGUAAAUGAUGGAUACUAGGUGUUGUGCGUAUCGACCCAUGUAGUGUUGUAGCUAACGUGUUAAGUAUCCCGCUUGGGGAGUACAUUUGCAAGAAUGAAACACAAUGAAAUUGAUGGGGGCCCACACAACUGGAGGAUUAUGUGAUUUAAUUCGAUGCAAAGUGAAGAAACUUACCAGGGCUUGACAUGACGAGAAUCUUCUUGUAAGAGAGGGGUGCCUUCGGGAACGCGGACACAAAUGGUACAUGGCUGUCGUCAGUUCGUAGCAUUAGGUGUCGGGUUGUGUCUCGCAACGAGUGAAACCCUCGUGUUUAGUUGCCAUCGUUGAGUUUGGAACCCUGAACAGACUGCCGGAGAUAAGCCGGAGGAAGGUGAGGUUAACAUCAAGUCAUCAUACCCCUAAUUCCCUAGUCAACACACAUGCUACAAUGACCGAUAUAAAGGGUUGUGAUCACGUGAGAGUGAGCUAACCCCAAAAACCCAUCCUCACUUUGGAUUGCAGGCUGCAACUCACCUGCAUGAAACCGAAAAUCGCUAGUAAUCUCCAGUCAGCCAUACAACGGUGAAUUCGUUUUAGGAACUUGUCCGACCGCCCGUCACACAAUAGGAGUUAGUCAUGCCCGAAGUCGUUAUCUUAAUCGUAGGGAAGGGGAUGUCGAAGGCAGGGCUAGUGACUACAGUAAAGUUGUAACAAGGUAGUUACACUCGAAGGUGAGGCUA